rnacentral:rRNA from 1 species
GGAUGAACGCUGGCGGCGUGCCUAAUACAUGCAAGUCGAGCGAACAGACGAGGAGCUUGCUCCUCUGACGUUAGCGGCGGACGGGUGAGUAACACGUGGAUAACCUACCUAUAAGACUGGGAUAACUUCGGGAAACCAGAGCUAAUACCGGAUAAUAUAUUGAACCGCAUGGUUCAAUAGUGAAAGACGGUUUUGCUGUCACUUAUAGAUGGAUCCGCGCCGCAUUAGCUAGUUGGUAAGGUAACGGCUUACCAAGGCGACGAUGCGUAGCCGACCUGAGAGGGUGAUCGGCCACACUGGAACUGAGACACGGUCCAGACUCCUACGGGAGGCAGCAGUAGGGAAUCUUCCGCAAUGGGCGAAAGCCUGACGGAGCAACGCCGCGUGAGUGAUGAAGGUCUUCGGAUCGUAAAACUCUGUUAUUAGGGAAGAACAAAUGUGUAAGUAACUAUGCACGUCUUGACGGUACCUAAUCAGAAAGCCACGGCUAACUACGUG